rnacentral:rRNA from 1 species
AGUGAACGCUGGCGGCAGGCCUAACACAUGCAAGUCGAGCGGCAGCGGGUCCCCGCGAGGGGAUGCCGGCGAGCGGCGGACGGGUGAGGAACACAUCGGAAUCUGCCUGGUUGUGGGGGAUAACGUAGGGAAACUUACGCUAAUACCGCAUGCGACCCUGAGUCGACGGACUGGGGUGAAAGUGAGGGACCUUCGGGCCGUCACGCGACCAGAUGAGCCGAUGUCGGAUUAGCUAGUUGGCGGGGUAACGGCCCGCCAAGGCGACGAUCCGUAGCUGGUCUGAGAGGAUGAUCAGCCACACUGGGACUGAGACACGGGCCCAGACUCCUACGGGAGGCAGCAGUGGGGGAAUCUUGGACAAUGGGCGCAAGCCCUGAUCCAGCCAUGCCGCGUGGGUGAA